rnacentral:rRNA from 1 species
CCUACGGGAGGCAGCAGUGAGGAAUAUUGGACAAUGGGCGCAAGCCUGAUCCAGCCAUGCCGCGUGCAGGAAGAAGCAUCUAUGGUGUGUAAACUGCUUUUGUACAGGAAGAAACACUCCCUCGUGAGGGAGCUUGACGGUACUGUAAGAAUAAGGACCGGCUAACUCCGUGCCAGCAGCCGCGGUAAUACGGAGGUCCGAGCGUUAUCCGGAAUCAUUGGGUUUAAAGGGUCCGUAGGCGGUUUAAUAAGUCAGUGGUGAAAUCUGGUCGCUCAACGAUCAAACGGCCAUUGAUACUGUUAGACUUGAAUUAUAAGGAAGUAACUAGAAUAUGUAGUGUAGCGGUGAAAUGCUUAGAUAUUACAUGGAAUACCAAUUGCGAAGGCAGGUUACUACUUAUGGAUUGACGCUGAUGGACGAAAGCGUGGGGAGCGAACAGGAUUAGAUACCCUGGUAGUCCACGCCGUAAACGAUGGAUACUAGNUGUGUAGNANAUNAGUGNGUAGAGAAGAGAGUAAGUAAGUACCACCGUACGGGAGGUACGGUUAACGGUCGAAGAAAGUUAAGUAAACGUUAAAAGGUUAAAAGUUAAGUUAGGACGNGAGAGAGCGACGGACGACGACGAGGGAGGAGG